ensembl:misc_RNA Metazoa_SRP Metazoan signal recognition particle RNA
GCCGGGCGUGGUGGCACAUGCCUGUAAUCCCAGCUACUCAGGAGGCUGAGGCAGGAGAAUCGCUUGAGCCUGGGAGGCAGAGGGUGCAGUGCGCCGAGAUCAUGCCAUUGCACUCCAGCCUGGGCAACAGAGCAAGACUCUGUCUCAA